GCCUGGGUGGCUCGGUCGGUUGAGCAUCCGACUUCGGCUCAGGUCAUGAUCUCACAGUUCGUGGGUUCGAGCCCCACAUCAGGCU
rnacentral:tRNA from 1 species